rnacentral:rRNA from 1 species
UACGAGGGGGGCGAGCGUUGUUCGGAAUUAUUGGGCGUAAAGGGAGCGUAGGCGGGUUUCUAAGUCAGGUGUUUAAUCCCGGGGCCCAACCCCGGACAGGCACUUGAAACUGGGAAUCUUGAAUAGUGGAGAGGUCAGUGGAAUUGGAGGUGUAGCGGUGGAAUGCGUAGAGAUCUCCAAGAACACCAGUUGCGAAGGCGGCUGACUGGACACAUAUUGACGCUGAGGCUCGAAAGCAUGGGGAGCAAACAGG